UACGUAGGGUGCGAGCGUUGCCCGGAUUUAUUGGGCGUAAAGGGCGCGUAGGCGGCUACGCACGUCCGUUGUGAAAUCGCCCGGCUCAACUGGGCGGGGUCGGCGGAUACGGCGUAGCUCGAGCAAGCUAGGGGGCAAUGGAAUUCCCGGUGUAGUGGUGGAAUGCGUAGAUAUCGGGAGGAACACCUGUGGCGAAAGCGGCGCACUGGACCAUAACUGACGCUGAGGCGCGAAAGCUAGGGGAGCAAACAGG
rnacentral:rRNA from 1 species